rnacentral:rRNA from 1 species
UACAGAGGUCCCAAGCGUUGUUCGGAUUCACUGGGCGUAAAGGGUGCGUAGGUGGUGAGGUAAGUCGGAUGUGAAAGCUCGGAGCUCAACUCCGAAAUGGCAUUGGAAACUACCUUGCUAGAGGAUUGGAGGGGGGACUGGAAUACUUGGUGUAGCAGUGAAAUGCGUAGAUAUCAAGUGGAACACCAGUGGCGAAGGCGAGUCCCUGGACAAUACCUGACACUGAGGCACGAAAGCUAGGGGAGCAAACAGG